rnacentral:rRNA from 1 species
UACGUAGGGUGCAAGCGUUAAUCGGAAUUACUGGGCGUAAAGCGUGCGCAGGCGGUUUUGUAAGACAGAGGUGAAAUCCCCGGGCUCAACCUGGGAACUGCAUUUGUGACUGCAUGGCUGGAGUGCGGCAGAGGGGGAUGGAAUUCCGCGUGUAGCAGUGAAAUGCGUAGAUAUGCGGAGGAACACCGAUGGCGAAGGCAAUCCCCUGGGCCUGCACUGACGCUCAUGCACGAAAGCGUGGGGAGCAAACAGG